GAUGAACGCUGGCGGCGUGCCUAAUACAUGCAAGUCGAGCGAACGGACGAGAAGCUUGCUUCUCUGAUGUUAGCGGCGGACGGGUGAGUAACACGUGGAUAACCUACCUAUAAGACUGGGAUAACUUCGGGAAACCGGAGCUAAUACCGGAUAAUAUUUUGAACCGCAUGGUUCAAAAGUGAAAGACGGUCUUGCUGUCACUUAUAGAUGGAUCCGCGCUGCAUUAGCUAGUUGGUAAGGUAACGGCUUACCAAGGCAACGAUGCAUAGCCGACCUGAGAGGGUGAUCGGCCACACUGGAACUGAGACACGGUCCAGACUCCUACGGGAGGCAGCAGUGGGGAAUCUUCCGCAAUGGGCGAAAGCCUGACGGGGCAACGCCGCGUGAGUGAUGAAGGUCUUCGGAUCGUAAAACUCUGUUAUUAGGGAAGAACAUAUGUGUAAGUAACUGUGCACAUCUUGACGGUACCUAAUCAGAAAGCCACGGCUAACUACGUG
rnacentral:rRNA from 1 species